rnacentral:rRNA from 1 species
AUGUCAAAGAUCGUCUGUUGGAACGUGCGUGGCCUAAACACGCCUGCCCGCCGCGACGCGGUGCGGGACAUCGUCCGAGACUGCAAAGCCUCCAUCGCGUGUCUCCAAGAGACUAAGCUGGCGAUCGUCGAUGACGCGUUAAUUACAAGUAUGCUUGGGCCCUCCUUCACUGCGAACUAUUUGGCACUCCCCGCUGCGGGCUCCAGGGGUGGUAUGAUCAUGGCCGUCUCAGACACUUUCUUCAAGAUGUCUGAUUUCCACACCACGCCUGGAUCGAUUUCGGCCACCAUCACCAUGCUUGCCGAGGGCCUGGUCUGGACCCUAUCUUGUGUCUAUGGCCCUCAAGGGGAGCAAGAAAAGCAACUCUUCAUUGAUGAGCUUAGGGGACUGAAGAGCGUGGUGAAGCCUCGGUGGCUCAUCCUCGGUAACUUCAACCUAAUCACCAAGGCAGCUGACAAGAACAAUCCGAACAUCAACAAGCGCCUCAUCGGACGCUUCCGGGCUGCGCUAAACCACCUG